AUUUAAAAAUAUAAAAAUUGUACAAGGUAUUUUAAGUUUUUUAUAUAUUUUUUUUUUACUUUUAAAAUUCCUUUUUAGAUUUUCAUCACCCAUUUUUGUCAAUGUUUUUUUGUGUUUUUUUUUUUUAAUUAUAUUUUUUGUCCCGUUCCUUUCUUCUCUUCACACACACUCACUAUAUCAAUCUGUCUUGUCUGCUUCACCUUGUUAAAACAAAGUGAAGUGGCACUUGUUCAGAGAGAGUCAAGCAAUAAUGGCAAUAAUUAAGAGACAGAGGAGAGAGAGAGAGAGGAGAGGUGCUAAAGGUGUACAUUUUUAUGAGAAACCUGAACUGAGAGCUGGAAAAGAGGAGCCAGAAAAUUGUAAUUUCCCAAUUAGUCAAUCUACCCUGUCACCCCCCAUCAAGUACAACUUGCUAAAAAUUGGAAGUAUUUACUAAUGUCUUUACUAAUUAUUAUUGUCAACUGAGGUGGUUCCAAUUUAAAGAGAAGAUCAAUUUCUCUUAAACAAAGGCUUUAUCAGGAAAAUCUAAGUUAUCAAAGUUGCCAUUGUUAUUUUAGCAUUUGUUGCAAGAACUUAAAAGUAACCCUUUAUUUUGGUUUUAAAGAUUUAUAUAUAUAUAUAUAUUUUAUUUUUUAUUUUGAUAAAUUAAUUUAAUUAUCGUCAGAAAAUCAAGAAAUCACAACCAACAUAUAUAUUGGGAUGGGGUAGGAGGCUUCAGCUCAAUAAUGCCACCAGAAUGAGAAAGUCAGGAAGAUUAAGAGAGGGAGAAUAUAUUUUUUAAUGGACAAAGAAUGGCAGAUGUGUUUGAUGCGUAAUAUUGCCCUAAAAACCAGUUCCCAAUGAAAUGGCAUCACCAAGCAAUUUGUUGGGGGUUUUAAUUGGAAGAAGUAGAAAACGAAUAUAUAUAUAUAUAUAUUUAUAUAAAUAAAAAACUGAAUGGCAAGGAAAACGAACUCUUAAACCUGAACAGGUAGUCAGCUCCCAGAGUCUGAUAAGCCCUAUACUGCAAGUAAGGAAUUGGAGAAUCUAGACCAGAUUUUACACUGUCUUCAAUUUUGACCCUAUAUACAUGUUAAGUCAAGUUCAUUGUCAAUAUUUUGUCUGACAAAGUGACAAACUUCAAAAGAGAGCAGAGGUUGUGACAAUUGCAAUCAAAAUUGCAACUGGAGCUCAUGAUUUUACAAAGCUCUAAACACCACUGCUACAUGUUAGAAUUGCGACCAAUACUAACAAUCUGUGUGUGUGUGUUACAUUUAAUAAAUCAUGGUAUAGUUGAAAUGUAAAACUUCAGCUUUGUCUCAUUUUACAGUCAAGGGAGAGGGUACGGCAGUAUAUGAUUAUUGUAAUGUCACUGAAAACUGUCUUUGGAUUCAUUUAUAGCCCCGUUAAGUAAACAAACUGUUCUUUUUCUCCAGGAAUAUUCCAAUUUACAACUGGAGACUCAUAGGAUUAGCGAACAAAGUUUCUUUGUCUGCCACAAUGUGAAGGACAUUAUGAUAAAUUUAAAGCUUAGAGAAGGAUGGGGCAAGUUCCUGGUGGUAUCUUAAAGUUGCUGUGAAUGUGUCUGUGUUUGUGUGUGUGUGUU
rnacentral:lncRNA from 1 species